rnacentral:rRNA from 1 species
AUUGAACGCUGGCGGCAUGCCUUACACAUGCAAGUCGAACGGCAGCACGGGAGCUUGCUCCUGGUGGCGAGUGGCGAACGGGUGAGUAAUACAUCGGAACGAACCCAGGAGUGGGGGAUAACGUAGCGAAAGUUACGCUAAUACCGCAUAUUCUGUGAGCAGGAAAGCGGGGGAUCGCAAGACCUCGCGCUCUUGGAGCGGCCGAUGUCGGAUUAGCUAGUUGGUGAGGUAAAAGCUCACCAAGGCGACGAUCCGUAGCAGGUCUGAGAGGAUGAUCUGCCACACUGGGACUGAGACGCGGCCCAGACUACUACGGGAGGCAGCAGUGGGGAAUGUUGGACAAUGGGGGCAACCCUGAUCCAGCCAUGCCGCGUGAGUGAAGAAGGCCUUCGGGUUGUAAAGCUCUUUCGGCGGGGAAGAAAUGGCAACGGCUAAUAUCCGUUGUUGAUGACGGUACCCGCAUAAGAAGUACCGGCUAACUACGUGCCAGCCGCCGCCGUAA